UUUCUCCCCGAGAUGGCGGGUCUGACGGCGGCGGCCCCGCGGCCCGGAGUCCUCCUGCUCCUGCUGUCCAUCCUCCACCCCUCUCGGCCUGGAGGGGUCCCUGGGGCCAUUCCUGGUGGAGUUCCUGGAGGAGUCUUUUAUCCAGGGGCUGGUCUCGGAGGCCUUGGAGCAGGAGUGCUGGGGCCUGGAGGCAAACCUCUUAAGCCAGGGCUCGGCACCUUCCCUGCAGGUACCUUUCCGGGGGCUCUGGUGCCUGGUGGAGUGGCUGACGCUGCUGCAGCCUAUAAAGCUGCUAAGGCUGGCGCUGGGCUUGGUGGUGUCCCAGGAGUUGGUGGCAUUGGUGGCUUAGGAGUGUCUGCAGGUGCGGUGGUUCCUCAGCCUGGAGCCGGAGUGAAGCCUGGGAAAGUGCCGGGUCAGUGCGGAAUCCCUGGGGCUGGAGGACAGAGGGCAGGGAGGGGCAGAGGGCAGGGAGGAACAGAGCCC
rnacentral:sRNA from 1 species